GGGGAUAUGGCGGAAUUGGUAGACGCUACGGACUUAAUUUCCGUUGACUUUUAAAAUCGUGAGGGUUCAAGUCCCUCUAUCCCCA
rnacentral:tRNA from 1 species